rnacentral:rRNA from 1 species
UGGAACUGAGACACGGUCCAAACUCCUACGGGAGGCAGCAGUGAGGAAUAUUGGUCAAUGGACGAGAGUCUGAACCAGCCAAGUAGCGUGCAGGAUGACGGCCCUAUGGGUUGUAAACUGCUUUUAUAGGGGGAUAAAGUGUGCCACGUGUGGCAUAUUGCAGGUACCCUAUGAAUAAGGACCGGCUAAUUCCGUGCCAGCAGCCGCGGUAAUACGGAAGGUCCGGGCGUUAUCCGGAUUUAUUGGGUUUAAAGGGAGCGUAGGCCGUUUGGUAAGCGUGUUGUGAAAUGUCGGGGCUCAACCUGGGCAUUGCAGCGCGAACUGCCAGACUUGAGUGCGCAGGAAGUAGGCGGAAUUCGUCGUGUAGCGGUGAAAUGCUUAGAUAUGACGAAGAACUCCGAUUGCGAAGGCAGCCUGCUGUAGCGCAACUGACGCUGAAGCUCGAAAGCGUGGGUAUCGAACAGGAUUAGAUACCCUGGUAGUCCACGCGGUAAACGAUGGAUGCUCGCUGUUUGCGUCUGACGUAAGCGGCCAA